rnacentral:rRNA from 1 species
AACGAACGCUGGCGGCAGGCCUAACACAUGCAAGUCGAACGUGAAGCCACCUUCGGGUGGUGGAAAGUGGCAGACGGGUGAGUAACGCGCGGGAACGUGCCUGUCGGUUCGGAAUAACCCAGGGAAACUUGGGCUAAUACCGGAUACGCCCUCCGGGGGAAAGAUCUAUCGCCGAAAGAUCGGCCCGCGUCGGAUUAGCUAGUGUGUGGGGUAAUGGGCAACCAAGGCGACGAUCCGUAGCUGGUCUGAGAGGAUGACCCGCCACACCGGGACUGGGACACGGCCCAGACUCCUACGGGAGGCAGCAGUGGGGAAUAUUGGACAAUGGGCGAAAGCCUGAUCCAGCCAUGCCGCGUGGGUGAAGAAGGCCCUAGGGUUGUAAAUCCCUUUCAGCGGGGAAGAUAAUGACGGUACCCGCAGAAGAAGCCCCGGCUAACUCCGUGCCAGCAGCCGCCGUAAUAC